rnacentral:lncRNA from 1 species
CACUGGUCAGACCGCUGUUAUGUGGCCGGUCAGACCGCCAGCCUACCUGUGGUUGGACCGUCGGGAUCCUGAAAAAAUAUCGAUCGACAAAGCUUUAAGAUGUAGAUUGAAUCUCUCGACUUUUAUUAAUCAACCAGUGCUUACAAAGUGCAUAGAAAACACUCCUAACAAAAACUUUCGAUCUAAUAUCGAAAUAGAGUCGAAACCCUAAUUUUCUCUC